CAGGGACUGCGGACUAGCGCGAAGUGGGCAGCCUUGGUUUAGUCGGGAUCAGUUUGUGGCCGGAGACCGGGCGCAAGGGCCGGGACCCUUACCAAUCUUCGCAACCUCCCACGCCCAACCAGGAGAUAUAUUUAGUGCUCUCUUAUGUGUCAGGCCCCGUGUUAACAAGGCAGUAUAGUUUCCGCAGUGAACAAGACAUACACGGCUCCUAGACUCCUAGACUCAUGGCGCCCCAAAUCAAAGGAAGGAGAUCCACACGGAUCAGAGCUACAACCCGGAGCGGUUAGACUUGAGAUGAGUGGAGCGUGGGAAACUGUGGAGACCAGAGGAAGAGCCUGCCCUAGCCUGAAAAGGCUUCCAGGAGAUGUCAACCUGAGAGGCUUUCUCCGUUCUAAGAUAGCACAUCCAAAUUUGCUUUAGAGAAGUGAGUGGAGUUGUGGAUAAAGCAGGAUUGGCCAUGAGUUGAUGAUUACUGAAGCUGGGGUGAAGGAUGCAUGAAACUUCUUUGUCCUGUUCUACUUCUGUGUGUUUGAAGUUUUCUGUAAUAAGUUAAAAUAAAAGAGUACACCACA